rnacentral:rRNA from 1 species
AGUGAACGCUGGCGGUAGGCCUAACACAUGCAAGUCGAACGGCAGCACAGUAAGAGCUUGCUCUUACGGGUGGCGAGUGGCGGACGGGUGAGGAAUACAUCGGAAUCUACUUUUUCGUGGGGGAUAACGUAGGGAAACUUACGCUAAUACCGCAUACGACCUACGGGUGAAAGCAGGGGAUCUUCGGACCUUGCGCGAUUGAAUGAGCCGAUGUCGGAUUAGCUAGUUGGCGGGGUAAAGGCCCACCAAGGCGACGAUCCGUAGCUGGUCUGAGAGGAUGAUCAGCCACACUGGAACUGAGACACGGUCCAGACUCCUACGGGAGGCAGCAGUGGGGAAUAUUGGACAAUGGGCGCAAGCCUGGUCCAGCCAUACCACGUGGGUGAAGAAGGCCUUCGGGUUGUAAAGCCCUUUUGUUGGGAAAGAAAAGCAGCAGGUUAAUACCCCGCUGUUCUGACGGUACCCAAAGAAUAAGCACCGGCUAACUUCGUG